AACGGCUGCGGUAGCCUGACCGUACUAAGGUAGCGUAAUCAUUUGCCCUUUAAUUGUGGGCCGGUAUGAAUGGAUAAACGAGGGUGAUGCUGUCUCUUUUUUGAGAGCAAAAAUUAGAGUUUAGAUGAAUAUACCUAAAUGUUAAUAAAAGACAAGAAGACCCCAUAGAGCUUUAACAGGGAAGCCACUAGUAAAGUGGUUUUAUUGUUUUGGUUGGGGCGACAAAGGAUCAUCCAAAGCGUUCUAUUUUUUGAAGAGGUUUUCUCGAUAUUAUGAUCCGUGAAAACGAUUAUGAGAAAAAGUUGCCUUGGGGAUAACAGGCUAAUCUACUCAAAGAGUUCACAUUGAUGAGUAAGGUUUGGCACCUCGAUGUUGGCUCAGGGUGUCCUAUAGGUGCAGAAGUCUAUGAUGGUGGGUUUGUUCACCCUUUAAAACCCUACGUGAUCU
rnacentral:rRNA from 1 species